UAGGGAAUCUUCGGCAAUGGGGGGAACCCUGACCGAGCAACGCCGCGUGAGUGAAGAAGGUUUUCGGAUCGUAAAGCUCUGUUGUUAAGGAAGAACGAGUGUGAGAAUGGAAAGUUCAUACUGUGACGGUACUUAACCAGAAAGGGACGGCUAACUACGUGCCAGCAGCCGCGGUAAUACGCAGGUCCCGAGCGUUGUCCGGAUUUAUUGGGCGUAAAGCGAGCGCAGGCGGUUAGAUAAGUCUGAAGUUAAAGGCAGUGGCUCAACCAUUGUAGGCUUUGGAAACUGUUUAACUUGAGUGCAGAAGGGGAGAGUGGAAUUCCAUGUGUAGCGGUGAAAUGCGUAGAUAUAUGGAGGAACACCGGUGGCGAAAGCGGCUCUCUGGUCUGUAACUGACGCUGAGGCUCGAAAGCGUGGGGAGCGAACAGG
rnacentral:rRNA from 1 species